rnacentral:lncRNA from 1 species
GGGAGCUUGCAGCAUAGCAGCAGGAGAGAAUGAGUAAUUAAGAAAUAUCUACAGGUCGGUGAAUGCCAGAAAAGAGAAAAGCACACGGCUCAUAGUAGGCGGCCACGAGAUCAAGGCGGCUGUGCGUCUUCCAGCCCUCCCAGUCCUGCCUGCGUCCGGUGGCGGCUGUCCACGUCCGCUGCAAACCAUGAGCCCCCUGAGACCAACGCCAGCUUCUGUACCCCCCGCACCCCAGGUGGGGGCCUGCUGCUCUGGUGCAGAAGUCACCCGUUGCCGGAAAUGUGCUCUCCUUCCCAGGGAAGCGCUGGAGCCGCCCGGAGAGGGAGGAUCCGAAUGGCCGCGGCAGGGCCUCUGAUGUGCUCGUGGUUCUUCCUGCAGUCUGCCGUCUGUAGGAGAGAAAUGGAUUUUUAAAAUAAACAGGCUUUGUGUAAAAUGUGUACAGA